UACGUAGGGAGCAAGCGUUGUCCGGAAUCAUUGGGCGUAAAGCGUGCGUAGGUGGCCUCAUAAGUCCGCUGUGAAAGUCAAAGGCUCAACCUUUGAAAGCCGGUGGAUACUGUGGGGCUAGAGUACGGAAGAGGCGAGUGGAAUUCCUGGUGUAGCGGUGGAAUGCGCAGAUAUCAGGAGGAACACCAAUAGCGAAGGCAGCUCGCUGGGACGUUACUGACACUGAGGCGCGAAAGCGUGGGGAGCGAACAGG
rnacentral:rRNA from 1 species